rnacentral:rRNA from 1 species
GACAGAGGGUGCAAACGUUGUUCGGAAUUACUGGGCGUAAAGCGCGUGUAGGCGGCUAUGCAAGUCGGAUGUGAAAGCCCUCGGCUCAACCGGGGAAGUGCACCCGAAACUGCAAAGCUAGAGUCUCGGAGAGGAUCGUGGAAUUCUCGGUGUAGAGGUGAAAUGCGUAGAUAUUGGGAGGAACACCGGUGGCGAAGGCGGCCCCCUGGACCGGUACUGACGCUGAGGCGCGAAAGCGUGGGUAGCAAACGGG